CCCAUAGUAAACUUCGCUUGCUUUAUCUCCUUUGCAACUCCGUAGACAGUUCCCUGGCAAAAUGAAGUACCAGAACCCUGAAGAGAUGCCAUAGAUUUUACAUGACCCCUGUGAAACAGAUGCUUUUUGGAGGACUGGUGGGCAAUUAUGUAGUCCCUGUGAUGUGGACUGUUUCUCUUUGUUGAAGAAUCUAGCUUAUAUAGUACUGGACCUCUUCAGGCAAGCACAGAAGAAAAGCAAAAACUACCUGUUGUAAUUUUUGAAGAUUCUAUUAGUUUAUUACAGUAGUUUAUAUAUAAUAGAGUAAAAUAAAUUCCUCUGUUGGGUUAUAGAUUUUGUCAGUUUCUCCUUAAGGGUUGAGAAUAUACUGUGAAGCUAGACAUGAUGGCACAUGCCUGUAAUCCCAGCACUCAGGAGG